rnacentral:rRNA from 1 species
GAUGAACGCUGGCGGCGUGCCUAAUACAUGCAAGUCGAGCGAACAGACGAGGAGCUUGCUCCUCUGACGUUAGCGGCGGACGGGUGAGUAACACGUGGAUAACCUACCUAUAAGACUGAGAUAACUUCGGGAAACCGGAGCUAAUACCGGAUAAUAUAUUGAACCGCAUGGUUCAAUAGUGAAAGACGGUUUUGCUGUCACUUAUAGAUGGAUCCGCGCCGCAGUAGCUAGUUGGUAAGGUAACGGCUUACCAAGGCGACGAUGCGUAGCCGACCUGAGAGGGUGAUCGGCCACACUGGAACUGAGACACGGUCCAGACUCCUACGGGAGGCAGCAGUAGGGAAUCUUCCGCAAUGGGCGAAAGCCUGACGGAGCAACGCCGCGUGAGUGAUGAAGGUCUUCGGAUCGUAAAACUCUGUUAUUAGGGAAGAACAAAUGUGUAAGUAACUAUGCACGUCUUGACGGUACCUAAUCAGAAAGCCACGGCUAACUACGUG